rnacentral:rRNA from 1 species
AUUGAACGCUGGCGGCAGGCCUAACACAUGCAAGUCGAGCGGCAGCGGGAAAGUAGCUUGCUACUUUUGCCGGCGAGCGGCGGACGGGUGAGUAAUGCCUGGGAAAUUGCCCAGUCGAGGGGGAUAACAGUUGGAAACGACUGCUAAUACCGCAUACGCCCUACGGGGGAAAGCAGGGGACCUUCGGGCCUUGCGCGAUUGGAUAUGCCCAGGUGGGAUUAGCUUGUUGGUGAGGUAAUGGCUCACCAAGGCGACGAUCCGUAGCGGGUCUGAGAGGAUGAUCCGCCACACUGGGACUGAGACACGGCCCAGACUCCUACGGGAGGCAGCAGUGGGGAAUUUUGGACAAUGGGCGCAAGCCUGAUCCAGCCAUGCCGCGUGAGUGAAGAAGGCCUUCGGGUUGUAAAGCUCUUUUGUCCGGGAGCAAGUCCUACUGGCUAAUAUCUGGUGGGGAUGAGAGUACUGGAAGAAUAAGCACCGGCUAACUACGUG